rnacentral:rRNA from 1 species
GACGAACGCUGGUGGCGUGCUUAACACAUGCAAGUCGAGCGGUAAGGCCUUUCGGGGUACACGAGCGGCGAACGGGUGAGUAACACGUGGGUGAUCUGCCCUGCACUUCGGGAUAAGCCUGGGAAACUGGGUCUAAUACCGGAUAUGACCUCCUAUCGCAUGGUGGGUGGUGGAAAGAUUUAUCGGUGCAGGAUGGGCCCGCGGCCUAUCAGCUUGUUGGUGGGGUAAUGGCCUACCAAGGCGACGACGGGUAGCCGACCUGAGAGGGUGACCGGCCACACUGGGACUGAGACACGGCCCAGACUCCUACGGGAGGCAGCAGUGGGGAAUAUUGCACAAUGGGCGAAAGCCUGAUGCAGCGACGCCGCGUGAGGGAUGACGGCCUUCGGGUUGUAAACCUCUUUCAGCAGGGACGAAGCGCAAGUGACGGUACCUGCAGAAGAAGCACCGGCUAACUACGUG